CUUGCUCUUAUGAAGUUAGCGGCGGACGGGUGAGUAACACGUGGGUAACCUACCCAUAAGACUGGGAUAACUCCGGGAAACCGGGGCUAAUACCGGAUAAUUAUUUUGAACUGCAUAGUUCGAAAUUGAAAGGCGGCUUCGGCUGUCACUUAUGGAUGGACCCGCGUCGCAUUAGCUAGUUGGUGAGGUAACGGCUCACCAAGGCGACGAUGCGUAGCCGACCUGAGAGGGUGAUCGGCCACACUGGGACUGAGACACGGCCCAGACUCCUACGGGAGGCAGCAGUAGGGAAUCUUCCGCAAUGGACGAAAGUCUGACGGAGCAACGCCGCGUGAGUGAUGAAGGCUUUCGGGUCGUAAAACUCUGUUGUUAGGGAAGAACAAGUGCUAGUUGAAUAAGCUGGCACCUUGACGGUACCUAACCAGAAAGCCACGGCUAACUACGUGCCAGCAGCCGCGGUAAUACGUAGGUGGCAAGCGUUAUCCGGAAUUAUUGGGCGUAAAGCGCGCGCAGGUGGUUUCUUAAGUCUGAUGUGAAAGCCCACGGGCUCAACCGUGGAGGGUCAUUUGGAAACCUG
rnacentral:rRNA from 1 species